rnacentral:snRNA from 1 species
AUUUUUAAUAUAUAUAUUCUAAAAUUGGAAUGAUGCAGAGAAGAUUAGCAUGGCCCCUGCGCAAGGAUGGCACGCAAAUUCAUGAAGCAUCCCAUAUUUUU